UUAUACAAUUAAUGUUAUUUAAUAUGUUUAUUAAUUGAAGGUAUUUUGUUUGUUGGGUUUAUUAUUUUUGUCUUAAGGUGAAAUUUUUACUUUAAUUAAGUUUGUUGUAUAUUCCUUUUAAGAUCAUAGUUUAAACUAGGAUUAGAUACCCUAUUAUUUUGUUAGUUAAUUUUAUUGGGUAGUAUAAGCUAUUUUUCUUGAAACCUAAGAAAUUUGGCGGUAUUUUAGUCUUUUUAGAGGAAUUUGCCCCGUAAUCGAUAGUCCUCGUUUUAUCUUACUUGAUUUAAGUAGUAUGUAUAUCUCCGUUAUAGGUUUAUUUUUUUAGGAUAAUUUACUUGAAAAUUGAUUAGUUGGUAUUUCAAG
rnacentral:rRNA from 1 species